UUGGCAGCUCCCGUCAUCCCAGUCUCAAAGAGAGACAGCUCCCCUGGCACCCCAAGGAGUGGCCUAGAUGUCAGUGUGGCUCUGUGGGGCUCCUGUGGAGAGGUACUAGUGGGUGUGCUCAACAGAUCAGCCCUGUCUGUCUGUGCACUGUAGGUAAACCCCACACGGUUUAAUACCCCAGCCUGACCACAUAAAAUCUUGGAUUAUGGUUUCAGGGCUGUAUGGACACGUCGCUUGGAUUUAAGCAACAGGGUAUCCAGUGCCCCCAUGACAAAGCUUUCCAUAAGAACAGACCUACAGCCAGGUCCAGAAGGCUAGAUUCUGAGCCAUGGCUGUGGGAGGUGGGCUUCAGAGGAGCACCAGAGCAGCCUAUGGCUAGAGCUCAGACUUGAGAGAGAGAACCAGAGAGAGAGGAUGGAGACCAGAGGGCGGGUUCUGUUCUGGACCCCUGCUCCUCAACACCCCUCUCCCUACAGCUCCAUAGACUCAGAUGUGGACUGGUGGGAUGGGGAUGAGAAGGAAGGUGGGGACAGGAAAGAAGAGGAAGAAGAGGACUUCCACAGCCAGAUGGAUGAGAAUGGGAUUAUAGGACUGGAGAACGCCUUGCAUGAUGUGGGUCUGGGGGAAGAAGAGGAGGAGGGAGAAGAGGAGGGAGUGGAGAAUGGAGAGGAUGAUCUGCCCUGGUACUCUGGAGCCUUGGACCCAGAGGGAGUGACAACAAAGUGACAACAGAAGGAGGACACGAUUGGUAGAGAGUGACAACAGACUCUACACGGUUGGUAGAGAGUGACAACAGAGAUGGGACACAGUUAGUAGAGAGUGACAACAGAGGGAGGACACGGUUGGUAGAGAGUGACAACAGAGGGAGGACACGAUUGGUAGAGAGUGACAACAGAGUGGGGACACGGUUAGUAGAGAGUGACAACAGAGGGAGGACACGGUUGGUAGAGAGUGACAACAGAGGGAGGACACGAUUGGUAGAGAGUGACAACAGACGGAGGACACGAUUGGUAGAGAGUGUGUCUGAAGACCUCUCCUCCCUUUUCCCACCUGACCUGCUCAGUCCAUCCCCCACGUAUCCCUCCUCCCCUCCCAUAGGUUGUACCUUUCUUUACCUCCUCCACUUCUCCUCCGAGGAGUUGGCUAAUGCUCCCGGGAUUGAAGCUGAGACAUUCCCUGAGGAACCCACCUUUACAGAGAGCCUUCCGGAAUCCUGCAGCAGCCAAAUGAGCCAUGCCCCCAGGCCUCAUUGGCAGGGGGGGAGGAGCUCAAGCCUAGGACCUCCCCUUACCCAGCAGCCAUCUUUCCUGACCAUGGGAUAUCUUACCGACUCAGAUAGAGGAACAAGGGGAGUGAAGAGAGCCUACAGGAUGAGUCAGGCACUAACUACUGGCAACACGCCUCUCACUCUCCGAGGAAGAUGAGACAGCCCACCCCACCCCAGGAGAGGGACCCACCCCAGACUUCUCCAAGGUAGAGCCCAGGGUCCGCUUCCCCAUAAACGGCUACACCCUCCACCCCCCAAGAGCAAAAACUCCCCCAGAAAGAGGUCUCUGUCAGUGGAGCCCGCCCUGGUUUUCAAGUCCACUGCUGACAUAGUGAGAGAGGUGCUGCUGAUCAGUACAGACGGACCCCCUCACACCCCAAUGGGCCCCACAGGCCCCAAAACUCCACGGUGCCAGAGGACUUCAGAUGCCCACAACAGGCCAGCACUCUGGUACAGCAGCUGCAGGAGGACUACAACAGGAUGCUGACCAAGUAUGCUGAGGUAGAGAACACUAUUGAUCAGAUGCGUCUGGAACCCAAGGCAGUCUAUAUAAGUGUGUGUGUGUGUGUGUGUGUGUGUGUGUGUGUGUGUGUGUGUGUGUGUGU